AUUUUAUUGAAGAAUUGAUUUCUUUCCCAUGGUAGAUUGCUUUGUUUGAAAAUCAGACAUAAUGCUUUACUUUUUUGUGGGAGGACUGAUUUCUUCCUUGUAAAAGGUAAGAGAUUUCUAAAGAAAUAAGACCCCUAGGGUCCUAUAUAAACCUUUGUAUCUUUCAUGAAGAAGAUAAUGAAUGAAUUUAUAAAUUCCACAAAUACUUAUAUCAAUCGCUUUGAGAGGGAGAGGGUGUGAGACCCAAAAUUACCUUACAAGAGGAGGGUAUGAGGCCCACUUUCUUUCCUAUCCCUUUAACCUUCAUCUACUUG
rnacentral:lncRNA from 1 species